rnacentral:lncRNA from 1 species
CGUGCCACCUUUCCCUUGUCGGAUCCAUUUUCGUGCUCAAAGCCUGAUGGUCAUUUUGGCUCUAUUUUUGGUCAGAUCUUGGUUUUUACCUAUUGCUUCUUUGAACUCCUCUCUCGUUAGUGGGUUUUAGAUUUGGAAGCUCAUUUUUUUUAGAAUCUGGACGUGUUUAUAUCCAAAUUUUGGAUUUAAUUAUAUAUAUGUUUAGAGUAAUGAAGUGGGUAAGCAUC